GUGCUCGCUUCAGCAGCACAUAUACUAAAACUGGAAUGAUACAAAGAUUAGCACCGCCCCUGCACAAAGAUGAUACACAAAUUCGUGAAGCGUUCCAUAUUUUU
ensembl:snRNA U6 U6 spliceosomal RNA